GAAUUAUUUACGCAACAGUCAGUAAUAUCAAUAGAAGUCUCUAUAGUUGAGCGCUUGAGAAAAAAAAAAUUGAACUUGACUAUGAUAAAUGCCAGUGAAUAUGUUUAAUCUUACAGCAUAUCUUAUUAUUUUCAGCUACAAGUUUUGGCCCAGUAGCAGAAUAUUUAGACAAUAUCUGGCACAGAAACAGAUAUGUUACCAUUGUAACUCGCCGAAUGUUAG
rnacentral:misc_RNA from 1 species